rnacentral:misc_RNA from 1 species
AAAGUCGUAACAAGGUCUCCGUUGGUGAACCAGCGGAGGGAUCAUUACAAGAGUAGCCCUAGGCUCUCCAACCCACUGUGAACAUACCUACGUUCCCCCGGCGGGCUCAGCGCGCGGUGCCUCCGGGCGCCGGGCGUCCGCCGAGGGCAUCCAAACUCGAAUUUAUUACGUGUAUAUCUGAGGGGCGAAAGCCUGUAAAAAUAAAUCAAAACUUUCAACAACGGAUCUCUUGGCUCUG